AAGACACAACACAAAACCACUAAAAAGGUAAUCAAAAUGUAUCAUAAGAAUAUGUACAUAACUUUUCGUUUCUCAAAUUACAUUCUACAAAUUAUUUAUCUAACAAAGAGUUGAAAAGAUUGAAGAUGUCAACAAGAAAACAGAAAAUCUACAACCAAUUCUACUCAGCCCUUCAACUCGGCUGUCUCCAAAAAUAUUUACAGCAUAUUCUAACGUUGUUCCUACUCCCGUACUCUAUCACAACUUCAUUCAGUCUUAUUUAGUUUACGCAUAAGUCAUAUUUAAUAGAGUAAUUACCUCGAUUCUCAAAACUGGCAAGAAGUUCCAAGCCUUUGCAUCUGCCUCUGACCAAGGGUGAUAGACUUGCGUUUUGCGAAAGCUGGGUAAAGAAGCUCUUCAAACUUGUCUAGAAACAAACCCCACUCGACGUCAUUCAUAUCUGAUAGCUUCACAAAGGUGACACUUGCAGGAAGCUGCUCAUUUGCGCUACGAUGUCCAGAGGAGGAACUAGCCAGAUAGCCGUUUUCUGGUUUUGUUCCUGAGAUAUUAGGAUAUUUCAGUUUCUUCUCACCUAAGCUGGUGUUCUUGAGAGACAUUGAAAGUUUUGACACAGCAAUGUUCUUUGCUGGGGCAGGAACAUAAUUAAAGCUCUUCUCAUCUUCUCCGUCACUUUCCACUUCCUCAAUACUUUCAUCUAGUUUAGAGAGUGGGAAGCAGCCAUUUCCUCCAAUUGGAAGAUGAAACGGGUUUCUAUUCGUGAAAUCCCGAGGGAUUGAUUUGGGACUAGCCUCAUAUCCAGAAUCUUCACAAUCUAUGUCAAACUGAAACUCGUUAUCCACUUCAGUCUUGGGAGAAAGAAUCUCCCUCUCAGCAAUCAGGCUUCUUGCCUCUAAACAAACAACUUCAAGCUCACUUGGUUUCUCCUCCCCACUACGGAAUUCCCUGGUCAUCAUCUCACCAAUUUCCGCAAGACAGAGACCAUAAGCGGCAGCUUCCUUGAGAAAAAUGGUGGAAAGGACCAAGACACGAAGGCAAGCUUCACGAAUCAUAGGGAGUUCACUUCGUAGCAUAUCAGAGUCUCGGAUAGGAUCAAGUUUCUUUAUGUACUCAAGUUCAUCAUCUGUGAACGGAAUGGAUGCCUGGGGCCAAUGGAUCCAUUCAAAAUACGGAUCUUCCAAGCUCUCUGGAAGACAGAGCCCGUGAUCAAUGGGGAUGAGCUCUACUUGACCAAACUGUCCAAUACCGUCAAGCUUCCUAACUAAAAGAUUCCCUGCAUGUCUGUCUGUGUUAAAAAUCCUAAUGUCUAAUAUUCCAAUGCGAUGCACUGCAGCAACAGCGAAAUUUGAGGUUCCAUGGUCACUAGCAUCAAAAUCAUGGGGAACAAACUGUUGAAAAGAUGCAAUCUUGCUCACAGGUUGCUUCUUGCUGAGAGGCUUGUCUCCAUUUACACCAUCAUUGACAUUAAAGACCGAGUGAGUGAUUUUCACCAAUGUAGUAGCUGGCACAUUGGCAAAAUGAUCAGUGUCAAGAAGAUACGCAGCGACCUCCCUAUACCCUGUUUCCCCAACUCUGACUGAUCGUUUUAAGCCUGGCUGCCCAAGAGCUUUGCCCACAAAUCCUUUAGGAUUGUUUGGCGCAAAUGGUUCUUCAUCUGUGGGCUUAACAAUAGCAACACUCUCGCCUCUGCUAUUUCUGAAAAAAUACCCCCCUCCGAGUCCACCAUGAACAGGAAUUGGAUCUACUCCAGUCUUUAUUGCCUUCACAAUUUCCUGGAUAAGUUGCUUUGUCUCAGCAAAGCGACCUACAUUUCCCAGUAUUUCAAUGGGACCACUUUGAUCUCUAGGUUGGAUAUGAUCCUUCCCUGUGGGUAAAAGGCAUGGAGUUGAUGAACUUCGAUGCAUAAAGUUCCUUGUCAGCAGUAGAGGGGAAUCGUUCCGAACAGCACUUAGGUCAUUAUUCAACACCCUAUCACCAAAUGUCAAAGAACUUUCCUCAACUGGAAAGUUAAGUGCAAGCUGCAGCCUUCUUUUCACAGUAUGUGCAUUGUCGCUGCGUUCUAACUCCAUCCCCAGUACACAACCAGUCUCAGUUUGAACAAAGACACGUCUCCUCCCAGUCGAUUUCCCUUCCAUCCUAGCUUUCCCAUGGUACUCCCCGCCGAGUGGGCUCUUGAAGAUUGCCACAGCCAUCUGGGUCUGAACAGGACAAUUAUCCAGGUUACGAGACAUAAAAGAUAGAGAAACACAGUUGGGUGUCACAAUCAACAAAAGAGAUGGCGGCAGAAGAGAGCUUUCCACACACUCUCGGUUGAGCACCAAACUCAGAGGCGGAUUGUGAGCACGUCAGGAAAUGAUUCAAUCUGGACACAAUCAUCAAUGUGCAAACAGGAACCAAAACCAACCCAGAUGAUGCCACAGGCAACAGCAAAUAUCACUAUCACGUCAAAUAUGGUACAGCAAGAGAUCAAGAAUCUCAAGUGUUACAUUAGAAGAGCCAUCUUAUGAUGUGGAUAAGACAGUGUACAAGAUCGGAAAAACAGAUCUGAGGAUAAUGCCUUUAUUGUAGCUCGCCGGCGAUGGAAGAUUCAGAUAACUUUUCAACCGUAUGAUUCAGAUACAAAGAAGAUUCAACGGCUAUGAUUCACUCCAAAAACCCCUUUCUCUUCCUUUUUUG
rnacentral:misc_RNA from 1 species